ACGUGAUGGCUAUAAUGCAGUCGUGCGGACCUUUUAGAGCUUGCUUUUAAAAGGUUAGCGGCGGACGGGUGAGUAACACGUGGGCAACCUGCCUGUAAGAUCGGGAUAACGCCGGGAAACCGGGGCUAAUACCGGAUAGUUUUUUCCUCCGCAUGGAGGAAAAAGGAAAGACGGCUUCGGCUGUCACUUACAGAUGGGCCCGCGGCGCAUUAGCUAGUUGGUGGGGUAACGGCUCACCAAGGCAACGAUGCGUAGCCGACCUGAGAGGGUGAUCGGCCACAUUGGGACUGAGACACGGCCCAAACUCCUACGGGAGGCAGCAGUAGGGAAUCUUCCGCAAUGGACGAAAGUCUGACGGAGCAACGCCGCGUGAGUGAAGAAGGCCUUCGGGUCGUAAAACUCUGUUGCCGGGGAAGAACAAGUGCCGUUCGAACAGGGCGGCGCCUUGACGGUACCCGGCCAGAAAGCCACGGCUAACUACGUGCCAGCAGCCGCGGUAAUACGUAGGUGGCAAGCGUUGUCCGGAAUUAUUGGGCGUAAAGCGCGCGCAGGCGGCUUCUUAAGUCUGAUGUGAAAUCUUGCGGCUCAACCGCAAGCGGUCAUUGGAAACUGGGAGGCUUGAGUGCAGAAGAGGAGAGUGGAAUUCCACGUGUAGCGGUGAAAUGCGUAGAGAUGUGGAGGAACACCAGUGGCGAAGGCGGCUCUCUGGUCUGUAACUGACGCUGAGGCGCGAAAGCGUGGGGAGCAAACAGGAUUAGAUACCCUGGGUAGUCCACGCCGUAAACGAUGAGUGCUAAGUGUUAGAGGGUUUCCGCCCUUUAGUGCUGCAGCUAACGCAUUAAGCACUCCGCCCUGGGGGAGUACGGCCGCAAGGCUGAGACUCAAAGGAAUUGACGGGGGGCCCGCACAAGCGGGUGGAGCAUGUGAUUUAAUUCGGAAGCAACGCGAAGAACCCUUACCAGGUCUUGACAUCCCUCUGAUCCUCCCUGGGAGACAGGGUCUUUCCCCCUUCGGGGGGACAGAGUGACAGGGUGCUGCAUGAAUGUCGUCAGCUCGUGGUCGUGAGAUGAUUGGGAUAAGGUUCCCGCAACCGAAGCGCGAUCCUUGGCACAUUCAGCUUGGCCAAGCCAUUGCAAGGCAG
rnacentral:rRNA from 1 species